AAGAGAGAGAAAUUUCUAGUUGGGCGGUGACCGAGAGGAAAGAAACACAAGGUAGCUUUCUUUCUUUCUUUCCAAAAACAGAACCAAGGGGGUGGAACUAAGAGUGCGAGAGAGAAAAUUUGGUUAGCUUUAUCAUCUGCUGAUCAUAAUCAAGAAGAGAAAGGCAAGGAAAACAGGAGGGAUAGCUGGUGCAGACCUUGAGGAAACAAAGCUGGGAAAAUCUGGUCAGUCUGCAAUUUUAACUCUUAAAGGAAAGAGGAAGUAGCCGUGAACCAGGAAACCAACUCGAGACUCGAGAGUAGUCAUUUAAAUCUUUGGUAUUUAUCUCUUUCAAGACAGCAUACUGUCAACUUGGACCCUCCUGAAAGCUGUAGAUAAAGAUCUUGAAUCUUCAAUGGACCUGGGCCUUGCAUCAAUUGGUGGUCCAAAACUCUACAUAUGAAGUACAAAACCUUCACUGCUUCAGGAUAGCAAGAUCAGAAUCGUUCCAAACUUUUACCUAUUUUCGAGCCGCCAAACAUUCACUCUAGAAGCCUGUUUGGAUUGACCGGUUAAACUGAGACCAAUCGAUUGACAAGUCUGGUAUCCAUUGGACUAGCAGUUUUUGAGGGUGUUUUUGAAAAACUUUGCUGUAGCAGAGUUUUUAAAAUGUAUUUUGAAAUAUUUUUCGAAAAUAUUUGGGAUAUUUAAGAGUAGAAGAAUUUCUAGAAUAUAUUUUGAGAUAUUUUUUAAAAUUUUAAAAAAAUUUAAACUAAUUUUUAGAUUACCUUUUAGAGUACUUUUUAAGAAUUUUUAUUGUAUUUAAAAAACUAGUUUUUAAAAAACACCCCAAAAACAGGGGAUCCAAACAGAGCUGUAAAAUUUCAGUUAAAAUCAACGAAUUAGUCGAUAUUUUUGUACUAAUUUUCUUUUACUUCUUGAUAUAUUUGUUUUUCUUUUAGAAAUUAUCAAUAGUGAUAGAUCUUUUUUUAUUUCCUUUAUUGAUUUUAA